UACAGAGGUCUCAAGCGUUGUUCGGAUUCAUUGGGCGUAAAGGGUGCGUAGGCGGCGCGGUAAGUCGGGUGUGAAAUCUUGGAGCUUAACUCCGAAACUGCAUUCGAUACUGCCGUGCUUGAGGACUGGAGAAGGAGACUGGAAUUUACGGUGUAGCGGUGAAAUGCGUAGAUAUCGUAAGGAAGACCAGUGGCGAAGGCGGGUCUCUGGACAGUUCCU
rnacentral:rRNA from 1 species